GCACCCGUAGCUCAGCUGGAUAGAGCGUUGCCCUCCGGAGGCAAAGGCCACAGGUUCGAAUCCUGUCGGGUGCGCCA
rnacentral:tRNA from 1 species